rnacentral:rRNA from 1 species
CAGUAGCCGCGGUAAUACGGAGGGGGCUAGCGUUGUUCGGAAUUACUGGGCGUAAAGCGCACGUAGGCGGCUUGGUAAGUUAGAGGUGAAAGCCUGGAGCUCAACUCCAGAAUUGCCUUUAAGACUGCCGAGCUAGCAGGUGAGAGAGGUAAGUGGAAUUCCGAGUGUAGAGGUGAAAUUCGUAGAUAUUCGGAAGAACACCAGUGGCGAAGGCGGCUUACUGGCUCAUAUUGGACGCUGAGGUGCGAAAGCGUGGGGAGCAAACAGGAUUAGAUACCCCGGUAGUCCCUGUCUCUUAUAC